GGAGGAUUACCCAAGUCCGGCUGAAGGGAACGGUCUUGAAAACCGUCAGGCGUGUAAAAGCGUGCGUGGGUUCGAAUCCCCACAUCCUCCU
rnacentral:tRNA from 1 species